rnacentral:rRNA from 1 species
GACGAAGGAUGCAAGCGUUAUCCGGAUUCAUUGGGUUUAAAGGGAGCGUAGGUGGUCUUCUAAGUCAGUGGUGAAAUCUCUCGGCUUAACUGAGAAAUUGCCAUUGAUACUGGGAGACUUGAGUGUAGUUCCGUUGGCGGAAUAUGACAUGUAGUGGUGAAAUACAUAGAGAUGUCAUAGAACACCGAUUGCGAAGGCAGCUAACGAAACUAUAACUGACACUGAGGCUCGAAAGUGCGGGGAUCAAACAGG